rnacentral:rRNA from 1 species
UACGGGGGGGGGCAAGCGUUGUUCGGAAUUACUGGGCGUAAAGGGCGCGUAGCGGCCGCCUAAGUCGGAUGUGAAAUCCCCAGGCUUAACCUGGGAACUGCAUCCGAUACUGGAUGGCUUGAAUCCGGGGAGAGGGAUGCAGAAUUCCAGGUUGUAGCGGUGAAAUGCGUAGAGAUCCGGAGGAACACCAGUGGCGAAGGCGACACGCUGGGCCGUACCUGACACUGAUGCGCGACAGCAUGGGGAGCAAACAGG